GCUGGGUUAAGUCCCGCAACGAGCGCAACCCUUGUCUUCUGUUGCCAUCGGGUUAUGCCGGGCACUCUGAAGAGACUGCCGGUGACAAACCGGAGGAAGGUGGGGAUGACGUCAAGUCAGCAUGGCCUUUAUGUCUGGGGCCACACACGUGCUACAAUGGCCGGUACAAACCGUCGCGAUACCGUAAGGUGGAGCUAAUCGGAGAAAGCCGGUCUCAGUUCGGAUUGUAGUCUGCAACUCGACUCCAUGAAGCUGGAAUCGCUAGUAAUCGCUGAUCAGCAAGCAGCGGUGAAUACGUUCCCGGGCCUUGUACACACCGCCCGUCACAUCACGAAAGCCAGUUGUACUAGAAGCCGGUGAUUCAACCGCAAGGAGAUAGCCGUCCAAGGUAUGACUGGUGAUUGGGGUGAAGUCGUAACAAGGUGAUCCA
rnacentral:rRNA from 1 species